rnacentral:rRNA from 1 species
AGAGUUUGAUCCUGGCUCAGAAUGAACGCUGGCGGCGUGCCUAACACAUGCAAGUCGGAUGUGCCGCAAGGUGCAUGGCAGACGGGUGAGUAACGCGUAGGGAAUCUACCUUUUUGUGGGGAAUAACGCUCCGAAAGGAGUGGUAAUACCGCAUGAGACCGCAGACUGGGAUGUUUGUGGUGAAACCUGGGGACCGCAAGGCCUGGGGCAAGAAGAGGAUCCUGCGUCUGAUUAGCUAGUUGGCGGGGUAAUGGCCCACCAAGGCGACGAUCAGUAGCCGGCCUGAGAGGGUGAUCGGCCACACUGGAAUUGAGACACGGUCCAGACUCCUACGGGAGGCAGCAGUGGGGAAUUUUGCGCAAUGGACGAGAGUCUGACGCAGCAACGCCGCGUGGGUGAUGAAGGUCUUCGGAC